rnacentral:rRNA from 1 species
GACGAACGCUGGCGGCGUGCCUAAUACAUGCAAGUCGAGCGAAUUUAUGGGAGCUUGCUCCCGUAAAUUAGCGGCGGACGGGUGAGUAACACGUGGGCAACCUGCCUAUAAGACUGGGAUAACUUCGGGAAACCGGAGCUAAUACCGGAUAAUUCCUUUCCUCACAUGGGGGAAGGCUGAAAGAUGGUUUACGCUAUCACUUAUAGAU